UACGUAGGGCGCAAGCGUUGUCCGGAAUUAUUGGGCGUAAAGAGCUCGUAGGCGGCCUGUUACGUCUGCUGUGAAAUCCCGGGGCUUAACCCCGGGCGUGCAGUGGAUACGGGCAGGCUGGAGGCAGGCAGGGGAGAACGGAAUUCCCGGUGUAGCGGUGAAAUGCGCAGAUAUCGGGAGGAACACCGGUGGCGAAGGCGGCGAUCUGGACGAUGACUGACGCUGAGACGCGAAAGCGUGGGGAGCAAACAGG
rnacentral:rRNA from 1 species